rnacentral:lncRNA from 1 species
UUUUGGGAGGCCUUAGCCAAUUGGAGGCUGCAGCAGCACGCAGAGAGAAAGCAUGUCUGACUUCUGUGAGGUGUUGUUUUGUUUUUUUUAAUAAUAAUAAGUGAUUAAUAAUCUGCUGAGAGCUGUAUGAAAUCUCUUUAGAUAAGGUUAGGAGGAGGAGAUUCCCCAGUGCUGCUUAUAGCUGAACCACAGCUGUAAUACUCUGCCAUAAAGCCUGUGUGGAUUCCUAGUAAGAUGGAUGCUCUACAUAAAUUGAAGAUUUUGGUGAUGUUUUUGUCUCUGGCUACUUUCAUGAUCAUGGUGAUAAUGAAUGCUGGAAAUGCCACUGGGAUUUUCAAAGGUCUGUUCAGGACAACCCCUGGAAACAUCUCAGCCAAGUACAGCACAGAUUUCACACCAGCUGGCUGGACUUUCCUCAUCUGGAAUGUCAUCUACGCCUGGCAGCUCGCCUGGCUUCUCUACGCCUUGUCAGGGAUCUGCAGAAGGAAUGAACUUGGAUAUGUCUUCAUGAAGCCAGACUUGCUGCCAAUACCUUUUUAUGUGGCGUGGUGUCUGAAUAAUGGCCUCAAUGUUGGAUGGCUCUUUCUGUGGGACCGAGAAUACCUCCUUCCAGCCCUGGUGUUCCUGGCAGUCCUGUCCCUUACCACAUGUGCCUGCCUGUUUGUCUCCCACCGAGCCUUGAGCAUCCAUUCCUCGUGGUUUGUGAAGGCUAACAAGGCUGAGCUCUGGCUCAUCCGCAUUCUGGUGCAGAACGGGCUGGCUCUGUACCUGACGUGGACCAGCAUCGCCACGCUGCUCAACUUCGCCGUGGUGCUCAUCCACAAGUGGAACGUGCCCAGCGAGAAAGCGACCACUGCUUCCCUGAGCAUCCUGGCUCUCAGCCUGGUGAUAUGGUUUUAUCUAGAAAAUUACCUUCUCGACAAGUACGUCCGCUAUAACCUCACAGUCUACCCCGUGGUCAUAGCAGCUCUGACAGGCAGCGCCUGUGGGAACGGCUCCUUCUCAUCCCCACUGACCAACCACGUUUUCAUAGUUGUUCUGCUGGCACUGACGUGUUUGAUCUUUGCUGUUCGGCUGGGACUGGUUGUGUGGAGACACUGGAAGAGACCACUGGAAGCAUGAGAACCCUGAGGCCCAUCAGGCACAGUGACCUGAGACCUCUGGCACAUUGUGGGUGAUGCUUGAAAGGGAGAAAAAAGAAUUGGGCAUGUGCUGGCUCUUGUUCCUGUAUCCAUUCCCUUCUGCAUUUCUCUCUUAUUCUCUGUUCCAAAUGCAGAUGUCUUGUGUCCGCAAAUGUGUCUUGCUCCCACAUUCUCUCAGAUCAGUUACUCACAACCCUGUCUUGAGUUCCUUUGGUUUUAUCCUGGAAAAGUUCAGGAAAAGCAGCCCUGUGCAGCUUUGUGAUGCCUGGGCUGUGGCUCUCUUCUCCUGCCAGUGCAAGCAGGGCUGCCAACAGGCACCCAGCAGGCCUGCACACACAGUUUUUCCUGUUUUUCCCUUGGUAUCUCACUUUCUUGGAAGUGCAGACCCAAGUGACCUGUCCCUGGGGUUCCAGGUGGGAGAGCUGUCAUUCAUUGCCUUGGCCAUCAGGGCUGAGCAUCCUCAAGCCCUGGUGCUGUCAGCAGAUCUCCUGCAGGCAGCCACUGCUCCUUUCCUGCUUCUCUGCAGCAUGACAGGGGCAGAGACUAGGAUUUGACAUCUGCCUUUGCAGUGUCAGCUCUGCAGUUUGAUGUUCAAGGGGGCAGGGGGAGGGACUGAAGGUUUCUGACACAAAGGUGUUGGUGUUGCCUUUCCCUGAGCUGGGCACAGCUUGGGCUGGCUGGAUGUCUCUCACUGGGGGAGUUUGUGGCUACUCUGGAAGGAGCUCAGAUGUACAGAUGAGCUGGUCCCUGAUCUGGGGUGAAGCCUGAUGCUUCAAAGGAAGCCUGUUAAAAAAAAAAUAAAUAAAAAUUGAACAGGUAGAGCAAGUUCAUCCUGGAUCAGUGCCUUCUCAUGUGGCUUCACCACUUCUGAGUUGGGAUUAGGAAGCCUAAAACUGGAUUGACUGAAUUUUUGGACCACUGCCUUUCCUUCCUGUGCCUAAUUGAGAGCUGGUGGUGCCUCACAGGUGUCUGGAAAGUCUUGGCACCAGGAAGGUGCUUUCAGUGCAUCUUGCAGUAUUAUUAACAAAGCUAAAUUCUAAAAUAACAUGUGCUGUUGUUUACAUUUAGCAAAAAGCAAAAGCAGUGUAAUGCAUCUCCCCUCAUCAUUCUGGUGUGUUGUUUUUUUUUUUUUUUUCUAUUUUUUAAUUUUAAAAUAAGUCAGCUCAUUCUAUCACUCUGCAACUAACUCUGUAAAUCAUCUAAAGCAGCUGUCCUGGCCCCUUCCUCACUCAUGCCCAGGGCUCCAGAGUGACUCUGGUCCCUUGCUGGAAUCUCAUGGAGGUGAAGAGUUGGAGGAUGUAGAUUGCUAGGUAUGAUUUAAACUCCUUUGACCAGCACACUGUUCAUUAAGUUUCUAUUUUAUAGGCUCUGCCUCCCAAGAUCCCAGCUAAUAAAUUCCCAGCAGCCUCUCCCUAAGCUGCCUUCUUUAAUACAGGGGAAUUAAAGCCACUGGCAGGGGGAUUAAGGGGUCCAGGCAAGGUGAGAAGCUGCUGUGAGGCUGUGCAGCAGUUCAUGCAUGGCAGGGUUUUGCAGCCUCCCUCUUGCAGCAAGAGCACUGCAAAGAGCUCCUGGGCCAGGGCAGCUGCACUUUCCCAUUAAAAAAUGCCUUAUCAGGA